AGGGCCUGCUGGAAGAGGGCGUGCAGGUCCGCCCGACUCGGGUUUGUCCUUACCGGUGCUCCUCCGGGUUGGGUUAGGCUGCCGGGCCUGCAUGGUGGCAAGCGGAGCAAGAGGCUGCCUCACCCUAGUCUUCUAGGCAUACCGAAAGUCCUUCAUCAUGUGUGCAUUGAUGCCCAUCGUGUCUGGGAUGCUGGGCUGAUUGCUUUCGGAAGCGGAGGAGGCAGAUCUCAGUGAGUUCGAGGCCAAUCUGGUCUACAUGGUGAACACCAGACCAGCUCGUGUUACAUAGUGAAACCCUGUCUCAAAUUUUUAAUUAAAUUAAAAAAGAGUAUAACAGAGGGAGAAAAAUAUCUUGAAAAAGAAGAGCCAAAUGGGGGAGUAAAUCAAAUAGACCAGAGAACCACAAGGGAAUUCAGAAACGAGCCCACACUUGCAGAGACAGUUUGUGUCAGCGGUGGUGCUGAAGAGCAUCCGGAAGGACUAACUGUAAUUUCAGGGUGCUGGGUUAACUGUACAAAGAAAAAGUCGACUCACCCGCCCAGCACACCUGGGCAUGAGGAAACACAAGCAAGAAUGUUUCUGAGCUGCAUGUAGAGCCUCACUCCUGCAAUCUUGACUCCUGACCAGUGGCGGGGCUGGGGCAGGAUUGCUGUGAAUUCAAAGCCUGACCUAGGCAGUGAGUUCCUGGGGGGUAAGGUGUGGGGGCACGGGACAUGACACGAUGACACCGAGACAGGACAGGGACGGGAAGGGACGACAGUUAAGAACAUUGACUUCUCUACCAGAGGACCCGGGUUUGUUUUUCAGCACUAACAUGGCUGCUUACAUCCAAAAGAAGCUCCAGUUCCAGGAGAUACAGAGUCCUCUUCAAUCUAAUUUUUUAAAAGUUUCUAGAACCACUAGUCACAAAAAGCUCCAAUCAGACACACGCAGAUGGCAACAAUAGAAUGGAUAAUUACAUAGUGGUAUAUCCACACCAAAUCAUAUAAAUAGAUUAUGGCAACUCAGCUAUGAGUUGCACACACCAGUGAGAAUGAACAGCUGCUGCAUACAACCUCAUGGAUGAAGGUCAUAAACAUCACAUGGAGUGAAAGAAUUCAAACCUGCCAGCUCUGACAUUGAGGAAGAAAAGUGUGAGGAAAGAAAAUAAAUCAGUGGUUUCCAGAACCGAAAGUGGGGGUUCACUACAAAGAAUGCUGCAGAGCCCUGUCUGGAGUCCAUGGUUAGCUAAGAAACACGAGGAGCUCCGAUAGCCAUGAAGGUUCCUCCAGUGAAGACAUCAUGUGGAGCAGCUGAAAAAUAAUCCCUUUAAAGGAUGAGACCCUCUGUGUUUCCUAUCACUGUAUGCUUAGCCUCUUCCAGGUAGCUCAGGCUGGCCUCAAACUCACUAGGUGACUGAGGUUGACCUUGAAUUCCUGAUCCUCCUGUCUCUGCCUCCCUUAUGCUGAGAUUAUAGGAAUGCAUCACCACACUUAGUUUAUGUGGUGCUGGGAACUGAAUCCAGAGUUUCAUGCUUGCUAGUCAGGCAUCCACCAGCUGUAAGCAGACUUUUCUUUCUGGCCUGUCAAUUCCCAAAAAAUUGCCACAGAGACUUAAUAUUAAUCGUAAAUGCCAGCCAAUAGCUCAGGCUUACUACUAGCUAACUCUCACAGUUAAAUUAACCCAUAUUUCUUGUCUACUCUCUGCCAAGUGACUCACGGCUUGUUACUUCAUUUUCUACAUGUUCUGCUUCCUCUGUAUCUGCAGGCAUCUCCUCUGACUCUACCUUUCUUCAUUCCAGCAUCCUUAGUUUGGUGGUCCUAUCUAUACUUCCUACCUGGCUACUGGCUAGUCAGCUUUUUAUUAAACCAAUUCAAGUGACAAA